AUGAGUCUUUUUCUGUGUGCAAAAGUGUUCUGUGUUAUUUAGGACCCUGGCCAACCCACUAGAUAUCAACAGCACCACUAUGUGUGCGACAGCUGAAACUGCUCCUGUAUUUCCAACACCUCUCCAAGUCAGGCUACCUGACAGAACUGGCCAGCUGAGCAGUUCUGGCCAGGCCCCGAGGACACCGGGGGUUCUGAGGAGGAUGGUCUUCUCCAGCAGGAGAUGUGCAGGAGGCGGAAGCGCUUUGUCCACCCGCCCUUCCUCCUUGCCUCUUGGCAGGUGGGAGAGGCUGUGGCCUUGGAUCUGUAGGACUGUCAUGACCACAAGUGCCCCGUGUGAGGACAGAAGCCGGCCCGCUGAGAAGGCAGAGCGGAGGGUGCACAUCCCUAAGUCCUGGGUGACAUGGUUGAGCGUCCACAGGAACCCAGGCACUGCCAGCUGCUGGGCUUUUUAGGAAGUAAAAUAUGAAGGUCUGUAUCUUUUAAACCACUGCCCAUCAGGAUUGCGAACCAAAUCCGGCUUAAUUAGAGGAAAAUGGUAUGUACAUGAUAGACAAGUGAAAGAAAAUGGAAAAGUACCAACAAAAGGUGUGUUUUUUCUCCCAGAAAA